rnacentral:rRNA from 1 species
GACGAACGCUGGCGGCGUGCUUAACACAUGCAAGUCGAACGGAAAGGCCCCUUUUGGGGUACUCGAGUGGCGAACGGGCGAGUAACACGCGAGUAACCUGCCCUUGACUUCCGGAUAACUUCAGUAAACUGGGGCGAAUACCGGACAGGAAUGCUUGCUUCCUGGUGGGGGUUGGAAAGCUUCGGCGGUUUUGGGUGGACUCGCGGGCUAUCAGCUUGUUGGUGGGGUAGUGGGUUACCAAGGCUUUGACGGGUAGCCGGCCUGGGAGGGCGAACGGCCAAAUUGGGGCUGAGAUAAGGCCCAGAAUCCUACGGGGGGCAGGAGGGGGGAAAUAUGCAAAAAGGGGGGGAGGCUGAUGCAAGAACGCCGGGGGCGGGAAGAAGGGCUUCGGGUUGGAAAACGGCUUCAGCAGGGGCGAAGCUGGUAGUGACGGUACCUGGAGAAGAAGCACCGGCUAACUACGUG